rnacentral:lncRNA from 1 species
GUCCCUCAUUCAUGCACUCUUCCAUCUUUUUGCCAUUGUGCCAGCUCAAUUUAAAUGUAUCUGCUCUGUAUCUGUUCAAGUGGAGAUAAUCCAUGCAAAUCAGGAGCCGUGGCUCUCAAUGCCUGGUUCACAGAGAGGACUCAGCUUGAGGAGGUCACUCGUUCACAGCCGCUCCUCCCAUUAUAUUUUUCCCCUUAUUGCAGAACUGCUGUAUGUAUACAGUGACUGAAAGGACUCAAUUUACUGCAACUGCUGCCUGGCUUUACUUACAACUUUUUUUUUUUUAUAAAGGAACUUACCUCCAUCUGUCUUUUCAAGUUUCAGGGUAGAAAGGGUCCCUUUAACUCCUGAAGACAGUAAAUCACAGUCUGUGUGGUGGUUCUCAGAAGACACUUAAAGGACUGAACUGGAUGCUCUACAUAGCACCCUUGCCAAAAGGGUUCGGAAAUGACUUCCAGCUUCCCACAGUAAUAAAAUGGCACUGUUUGGCAUCUUCGAGGUAAUAAAAGUGAAUUUUUUCCAUUCUAGUAAA